UCUGCUUUCUUUUGGCUUGUGAUCCAUCCCCAGAAGAUACAAACUUUCAAAUUCUGUGUCUCUUUUUCAGGCUGCUCACAGCUGGCCGUUGCUGCUGCAGGAACUGCUGGAUUGCAACAAUCUGCAUCUCCAAGGCUUAAUCCCUGCUGAAUGUGCUGUUCCCUCAGCCCAGGCAUUUCUUCUACAAAAGGAGAGGAAGACUGGUGUUUCUAGGAGCAGAGUGGGCAUGUGUAGUAAGAGCACUCCUGCAGCUGUCUCCUCAGCAACUCCUGUGUUGCCAUCUGAUUCAACAUGUGCACAAGGAACACUUGCAAAGGGAGCUGAGUCAUUCUCUAAAUCUGGAACAUCGUCCUUGGAACACAAAACCUUCCUCUGCAGGACUUAAGGUAAGUCAUGUGGCAUUGACAUCCCUAAAAAAUUUGAAAUUAACAUGGAAGAAAAUUAAACAGCAUAUCGAUGGAUGAGAUAGGCGUGAUGGUUUCUCCAUGAUGUCAUUGCAUGUUGAUGAAGAGACAGCACUAUGAAAUAUGAGAUGCUAAUUUCAUCAAAAUACCACCCUGGUUUUGCAAGGAGCUACACAAAGAGCCAUUUCUUUUCUGCAAAAGGAAGGCUUGAUUAUUUAUAACUGUAAAAACAAAACCAGAAAAAUAACUGCCAUAUGUUUCCCAUUUUCUUCAUUUCCUUCCUAUUCCAUGAAGUAUAGAUAUUCCUAUUAAUUCAAAAAAAAGGCAAACUAUCACUUCUUGUCUCUGUUUUUCUUAAAUCUAGAAAUGUUUAGCAAAAUUAAUUUAAAACAGUCAAAUAUCUUGCCCUGUUUUUUUCAUUUUUAGAAUAAACUGAAGUGUUUUAGCUUUUGGUGUCUGUCC
rnacentral:lncRNA from 1 species